rnacentral:sRNA from 1 species
GGAGGAGUGGACAACCGCCAUCCAGACUGUGGCCGACGGCCUCAAGAAGCAGGAGGAGGAGGAGAUGGACUUCCGGUCGGGCUCACCCAGUGACAACUCAGGGGCUGAAGAGAUGGAGGUGUCCCUGGCCAAGCCCAAGCACCGCGUGACCAUGAACGAGUUUGAGUACCUGAAGCUGCUGGGCAAGGGCACUUUUGGCAAGGUGAUCCUGGUGAAGGAGAAGGCCACAGGCCGCUACUACGCCAUGAAGAUCCUCAAGAAGGAAGUCAUCGUGGCCAAGGUGGGGCCGGGGCAGUGGGGCAGGGUGGAGAUGAGGGUGCGGGGCGGCAGCUCACCCAGCCCUGCUUUACAGGACGAGGUGGCCCACACACUCACCGAGAACCGCGUCCUGCAGAACUCCAGGCACCCCUUCCUCACAGCCCUGAAGUACUCUUUCCAGACCCACGACCGCCUCUGCUUCGUCAUGGAGUACGCCAACGGGGGCGAGGUAGGGGCUGGGGCUGCGGGGGAUGGACUUCGCGGCCUGUGGGCCGCCCAUGGUGGGGCUGGUCCUUCCCGGAGCCUCGGCUACUCUCCAUGGCACCAGACGGUGCUCCCUGCUGGGUGGG